CGCACAUUGCGCCCCAUGGUACUCCGUGGGGCAUGCCUGUUCGAGCGUCAUUUAACCCUCAAGCACUGCUUGGUGUUGGGCGUCGUCUGACCGGACGUGUCCUAAAUCGAUCGGCAGCGGGUUCGCCGGCUUCUUGCGCAGCACAUUGCGCGUUGGCCGACGCACCCAGCGCCGCAACGCCCAUAGUUUGACCUCGGAUCAGGUAGGGAUACCCGCUGAACUUAA
rnacentral:misc_RNA from 1 species